rnacentral:rRNA from 1 species
AUGGCUGUCGUCAGCUCGUGUCGUGAGAUGUUGGGUUAAGUCCCGCAACGAGCGCAACCCUCGCCCUUAGUUGCCAGCAUUUAGUUGGGCACUCUAGGGGGACUGCCGGUGAUAAGCCGGAGGAAGGUGGGGAUGACGUCAAGUCCUCAUGGCCCUUACGGGCUGGGCUACACACGUGCUACAAUGGCGGUGACAGUGGGCAGCGACCUCGCGAGGGGAAGCUAAUCUCCAAAAGCCGUCUCAGUUCGGAUUGUUCUCUGCAACUCGAGAGCAUGAAGUUGGAAUCGCUAGUAAUCGCGUAACAGCAUGACGCGGUGAAUACGUUCCCGGGCCUUGUACACACCGCCCGU